CAGGCUGCAGGCAUCACUGCUCUCUCUGCCACUGAGCAAGGAAACCUGCUGCUGAAUUUCUCAAUGCUUGGGAAAAGUUUAAUGGUUGCAAAGGAUUGUGAGUUGCCAAGGAUCUGCAGGGGAUGAGAAGAAUCGUUUCCCAGAGACCUUUCUGCCAAAUGAAGACAAGACAAGAAGACAGAAGUUUGAAGGAGAUUUCUGCUGAACAAACCAAGAGAAUGUGACAAGGAGCCGACCUGACCUCAUACACUGAACAAGACAGAAUUUAUAGUGACUCUGACUGGAACCCAAGUGCCUUUACUGGGUCUCCAGGAUGUAAAUAGUUCCACGUUCUCUGUUUUUUUUUUGGAUAGUUCCAUGUUCUCUGUU